GAUGAACGCUAGCGACAGGCUUAACACAUGCAAGUCGAGGGGCAGCACAGGGCAGCAAUGUUUGGGUGGCGACCGGCGCACGGGUGCGUAACGCGUAUGCAACUAACCCAUCAGACCGGGAUAGCCCGGCGAAAGUCGGAUUAAUACCGGAUGCAACAGGGGUCUCGCAUGGGGCUUAUGUUAAAGGAUUAAUUGCUGAUAGAUGGGCAUGCGUUCCAUUAGGCAGUUGGUGAGGUAACGGCUCACCAAACCUACGAUGGAUAGGGGAACUGAGAGGUUGGUCCCCCACACUGGUACUGAGACACGGACCAGACUCCUACGGGAGGCAGCAGUGAGGAAUAUUGGUCAAUGGGCGAGAGCCUGAACCAGCCAAGUCGCGUGCAGGAGGACGGCGCUAUGCGUUGUAAACUGCUUUUACAGAGGAAUAAAGGCGUGGACGUGUCCAUGUUUGUAUGUACUUUGUGAAUAAGGAUCGGCUAACUCCGUGCCAGCAGCCGCGGUAAUACGGAGGAUUCGAGCGUUAUCCGGAUUUAUUGGGUUUAAAGGGUGCGUAGGUGGGAUAGUAAGUCAGUGGUGAAAGGUUGUCGCUCAACGAUAAGACUGCCAUUGAAACUGUUGUUCUUGAGUAUAAACGAAGUAGGCGGAAUGCGCGGUGUAGCGGUGAAAUGCAUAGAGAUCGCGCCGAACUCCGAUUGCGAAGGCAGCUUACUAGGCUAUUACUGACACUGAAGCACGAAAGCGUGGGUAUCAAACAGGAUUAGAUACCCUGGUAGUCCACGCAGUAAACGAUGAUUACUAAAGGUUUGCGAUAAACAGUAAGUCUUAAAGCGAAAGCGUUAAGUAAUCCACCUGGGGAGUACGCCGGCAACGGUGAAACUCAAAGGAAUUGACGGGGGCCCGCACAAGCGGAGGAACAUGUGGUUUAAUUCGAUGAUACGCGAGGAACCUUACCCGGGAUUGAAAUGCGCCUGAAGGCAGGUGAAAGCUUGCCGUCCCGUGAGGGACAGGCGUGUAGGUGCUGCAUGGUUGUCGUCAGCUCGUGCCGUGAGGUGUCGGCUUAAGUGCCAUAACGAGCGCAACCCUGAUUGUCAGUUGCUAACGGGUGAAGCCGAGGACUCUGGCGAGACUGCCGGCGUAAGCUGUGAGGAAGGUUGGGAUGACGUCAAAUCAGCACGGCCCUUACAUCCGGGGCGACACACGUGUUACAAUGGUGGGGACAGUGGGCAGCUACUUAGUGAUAAGAUGCGAAUCUCCAAACCCCAUCUCAGUUCGGAUCGGAGUCUGCAACUCGACUCCGUGAAGCCGGAUUCGCUAGUAAUCGCGCAUCAGCCAUGGCGCGGUGAAUACGUUCCCGGGCCUUGUACACACCGCCCGUCAAGCCAUGGGAGCCGGGGGUACCUGAAGUAUGUAACCGUAAGGAGCGUCCUAGGGUAAAACUGGUGACUGGGGCU
rnacentral:rRNA from 1 species